UUCACAAUCAAAUAAGUUCUCUACAUUUUCAAUAUUUUCCAAUGGAUUCUCUAUGCGUGCUCAAUUGUUUCUCCGUCACAAGAAUGCAUCUCCUAUAGAAACCCAUUCAGCAAGGGAAUUCACCGUAAUAGGACAAAAAAACGUUUCGGGUUGUGGAUUUUUUGAAGCCAAUAGUUACUCUAAUCGUGGUCAUUUCUUGAUAUUUCAACAUAAACUCUCCCAUUGUCUGUGAUGUGUCCACCCUAACCAGAGAAGAAGAGACGGGGGGAAAUGGAAAUGAAGUCAAUGACGUCUCAUGGGCAGGUUCAGCUGACUCUUCGACUAAACCAUCAAGUUAAAUUUGGUGAGCACGUUGGAGUCUUGGGGUCCCAAAAGAAUUCGACUCGUGUAAGAAGAAGAACAAGAUGGGUGGUCCAAUGGUGCCUUCUAUUAUGCUUCGUUUUUUUUGUAACGUGUUUGCGGAGGGACCAAAUGACUCCAAACUUGGACUAAAAACCACCAUUUGUGUAAUUGUUUCUAGAUUACUAGUGUUUCCUGUAUAAUGAAUUUUAGUUGUAACUUUUGUGGCAAUUUGAGUUCUAUAUUACAAGUGCUUCCUUUGUAGACA